rnacentral:misc_RNA from 1 species
UACGGAGGGUGCGAGCGUUAAUCGGAAUUACUGGGCGUAAAGCGCGCGUAGGCGGCUAAGUAAGCCGGGUGUGAAAGCCCCGGGCUCAACCGGGGAAUAGCAUCCGGAACUGGUUAGCUAGAGUGCAGAAGAGGAAGGUAGAAUUCCCGGUGUAGCGGUGAAAUUCGUAGAGAUCGGGAGGAAUACCAGUGGCGAAGGCGGCCUUCUGGUCUGACACUGACGCUGAGGUGCGAAAGCGUGGGUAGCAAAGAGG